CGAGAGUAAACAAAUCUGCCAUUCUGUACCCACGACUGCUCUUUCCCUCCCCCUCCGCCUCCGCCUCCGCCUUCCCUCCGACUUUUCCCUCGCCGAAAAACCAAUUCCAGGCUCCAGCAGCAGGCAACCUCCAAUUUUCCAUUAUAGUAUUGCCCCCGCUAGGGUUCCAGCCGCCUUCAUGGAAUCCGCGGCCGCCUGCAGAUCCUUCACCAGCCGCCUUUUAGGACCGCCUCGCCUCCCGCAGCCGGGAGUGCUUUGUCUUGGGCGCGUCUGGCCGCCUGCGCCGAGGGUUUGAGUUAUUGCAUGUGGUGGCACCAAGCAUGAGGCGACAACUGCAUUACUUGCAAGGAAGUUACAAACUAUGUAGGUUGGAUAUCAUAGUUCUGUGUCAAAUAUUGCGAAGCUGAAUCAAGAACGAAGUGGUGAAACCUGACCAUAAAUUCCUUUCGUACGACCAGAAUACACUAAGGGAUCAGUAAGAACUCCGGAACCUAAUCUAUGGGUCAUCAUAAGCGUGACUUUCUUGCAAGUUGUGCAGUUGCUGUCUCAAGCUUGCUGACUCCGUUUGCCAGACUGCAAUGUGAAAUAGGAAAUUUAGUCAGGAAAUGCCUAAAUGAUCCAAUAAAUGGUUGAAUUGGGCCACUUAUCUCUUCUUAAAUAUGUUGAAGGAUAUUGGGAACGUAUUCUUAAUUUUGAGAACUUGUUUCCAGAUGUAAAACUUUAAUCGGAUAUCUCUAUACUUAAAAGAGUACUAGUGGAUUAAGGAUACAAGAGUGCAUCCUAAGUUGCAAUGGUUGUAUCCACGGGAAGAACAAUUAUGUGUCUACCAGAACCUCCAAUUGAUGCACCAUGUGAAGUCAUGUUGACAUUUUCUUUUCUCUUUGGUAAGGUUAUGGAAUAAAUUUUGUUUCCCCUAGUAUUGUGUUAGUGGUGUAUAUAUUCACUAAACAAGGUUCUUCCAUACCUCUGUUUCCAUAUGCCGCUGCACCAUCAUCCACUGCCAUGUUGAGGUGGUGGAGAUUAGCAGGCAGCAGUCUUUGUGGCGUUGAUGGGGAGGUGUCUUCGCGGUGCUGAUUGGGAGGUUGAGACCUCGUGGAAUCCAUGUUCUCAGGCGGAGGCUAAGUUGGCGAUUUGCCACUGCAGUUGUGAAUCAGCAUAAGAGAUGGCACACUUCCGGUGUAGGUGCCGAGGGCCUCGCUAGAUCCAGAUGGAUUGUUGGAGCCGCAAUCUCGCUCGCCACUCUGCAGGGGUUGUUAAGGUUGAUGGCGAGCCUCUACAGGGUGAUGUAGUGCCAUUUUUUCUUUGAAAAAACUCAGACUUUAUUCAUCUGUAAUAAGUAAUAAGUGCAUCAUUUGUGAGGAGCAUUACAAUUUCAUUUAAAGGCUCCUCAAACCAAUCGGAAGUCAAAGAAAAUCUAGCUGGAAA